rnacentral:rRNA from 1 species
UGGCGGACGGGUGAGUAACGCGUGGGGAACCUGCCCUGUACAGGGGGAUAACACUUAGAAAUAGGUGCUAAUACCGCAUAAGCGCACAGUGUCGCAUGAUACAGUGUGAAAAACUCCGGUGGUACAGGAUGGACCCGCGUCUGAUUAGCUGGUUGGCGGGGUAACGGCCCACCAAGGCGACGAACAGUAGCCGGCCUGAGAGGGUGAACGGCCACAUUGGGACUGAGACACGGCCCAAACUCCUACGGAAGGCAGCAG